CACAUAAUUUCGAAUGACUGG
rnacentral:miRNA from 1 species